rnacentral:rRNA from 1 species
AACGUAGGUGGCAAGCGUUAUCCGGAUUUACUGGGCGUAAAGGGUGUGCAGGCGGGACGACAAGUGGUGUAUGAAAUUUCCCGGCUCAACCGGGGCAGGUUAUGCCAGACUGUCGUUCUGGAGUGCGAGAGAGGGGCAUGGAAUUCCGGGUGUAGUGGUGAAAUGCGUAGAGAUCCGGAGGAACCCCAGAGGCGAAGGCGGUGCCCUGGCUCGCAACUGACGCUCAGACACGACAGCAUGGGGAGCGAACGGG